GCAGGUUAUGAAGUAGUAUCUGCCUUGCAUCACUGUUCUCUUCUACACACAGUGAUCUGUCACCACCCCUCUUUGUCCCUGUGGCAGGUGCCUGAGGUAACUGUGUCCCCAGCACUGUCAGACCCUGCCAGUGUCUGUAUCUGCUGCUGAGAGUCCCUCAGCCAAGUGACUACUGAAACAAAGGGAAGCAGUUUCAACAGGAAAGUGUGAGAGAUGAGCCCAAGGAGCCUGAGGGAAAGAGGAGGAAGCUAAUCCCUAUCUGCCGCAUACUGGACUAAUCCUGGCACUUUCUAAGGAAAGAGAGUCCUCUUCUUCCUCCUGAUGUACUUUUUGAGAAAGACUUGUUGCUGCUUUGAUCUGUGUCACAGCAUCAUGCCCAGGGGACAGGGGACCUCUGUCCUGCAGCACCACUGCAGAAUUCACUGCCUCAUCAGAUCAUGGUCUACUUGCUAAUUCAGUUAAAUCACAUGAAAAAGUGUUCUGGCUGA